rnacentral:tRNA from 1 species
AAAAAAACUUGUGUAAAAGUCACCUUCUAAGUUACUUUUGGUUGGUUCAAUUCCACCUUUUUUUU